GGUGGCUCAGUGGUAGAGUGCUUGCCUUGCAUGCAUGAGGCCCUGGGUUCGAUCGCUCAGCACCA
rnacentral:tRNA from 1 species